UCUAACGUGGCAGAAUAGUGCAAUGGAUUUAAGCCCCAUAUAUAAAGAUUCUUUCUUUCUUUAGAA
rnacentral:tRNA from 1 species